AUUCCUAUACAAUAAUGGAAUAGCUUCAAUAUAUUAUGGAAAUGGUUCCUAUAAUAUUAUAGGAAUGGAAUGGUUCCUAUGAAAUCAUGGGAAUGACGCACAUAAUAAUGGAAAAAUGUUUAUGUUCAUAAUAAUGGAGCAAUCACAUCAAAAAUAUAAAGUAAUUAUUAUA